CCUUAGUGGCGGACGGGUGAGUAACGCGUGGGAACCUGCCUCUUGGUACGGAAUAACAUCAGGAAACCGAUGCUAAUACCGUAUACGCCCUUAGGGGGAAAGAUUUAUCGCCGAGAGAGGGGCCCGCGUUAGAUUAGGUUGUUGGUGGGGUAAUGGCCCACCAAGCCUACGAUCUAUAGCUGGUUUGAGAGGAUGAUCAGCCACACUGGGACUGAGACACGGCCCAGACUCC
rnacentral:rRNA from 1 species